GGCCGAGUGGCGGAAUUGGCAGACGCACGGGACUUAAAAUCCCGUGAGAGGUAACUCUCGUGCGGGUUCGACCCCCGCCUCGGCCA
rnacentral:tRNA from 1 species